rnacentral:rRNA from 1 species
UAGGGAAUCUUCGGCAAUGGACGAAAGUCUGACCGAGCAACGCCGCGUGAGUGAAGAAGGAUUUCGGAUCGUAAAACUCUGUUGUUAGAGAAGAACAAGGACGUUAGUAACUGAACGUCCCCUGACGGUAUCUAACCAGAAAGCCACGGCUAACUACGUGCCAGCAGCCGCGGUAAUACGUAGGUGGCAAGCGUUGUCCGGAUUUAUUGGGCCUAAAGCGAGCGCAGGCGGUUUCUUAAGUCUGGUAUGAAAGCCCCCGGCUCAACCGGGGAGGGUUAUUGGCAGCUGGGAGACUUGAGUGCAGAAGAGGAGAGAGGAAUUCGAUGUGUGGCGGUGAAAUGCGUAGAUAUAUGGAGGAAAACCAGUGGCGAAGGCGGCUCUCUGGUCUGUAACUGUCGCUGAGGCUCGAAAGCGUGGGGAGCAAACAGG